UACGUAGGGGGCGAGCGUUGUCCGGAAUUAUUGGGCGUAAAGGGCGCGUAGGCGGCUUUGCAAGUGACGGGUGAAAUCCCUCGGCUUAACCGAGGAACUGCCUGUCAAACUGCAUGGCUUGAGACCGGGAGAGGUGAGUGGAAUUCCCAGUGUAGCGGUGAAAUGCGUAGAUAUCGGGAGGAACACCGGUGGCGAAGGCGGCGACCUGGGUGAGAUACUGACGCUGAGGUGCGAAAGCGUGGGGAGCAAACA
rnacentral:rRNA from 1 species